UGAACGCUGGCGGCGUGCCUAAUACAUGCACGUCGAGCGAACAGAUAAGGAGCUUGCUCCUUUGACGUUAGCGGCGGACGGGUGAGUAACACGUGGGUAACCUACCUAUAAGACUGGAAUAACUCCGGGAAACCGGGGCUAAUGCCGGAUAACAUUUAGAACCGCAUGGUUCUAAAGUGAAAGAUGGUUUUGCUAUCACUUAUAGAUGGACCCGCGCCGUAUUAGCUAGUUGGUAAGGUAACGGCUUACCAAGGCAACGAUACGUAGCCGACCUGAGAGGGUGAUCGGCCACACUGGAACUGAGACACGGUCCAGACUCCUACGGGAGGCAGCAGUAGGGAAUCUUCCGCAAUGGGCGAAAGCCUGACGGAGCAACGCCGCGUGAGUGAUGAAGGUCUUCGGAUCGUAAAACUCUGUUAUUAGGGAAGAACAAAUGUGUAAGUAACUGUGCACGUCUUGACGGUACCUAAUCAGAAAGCCGCGGCUAACUACGUG
rnacentral:rRNA from 1 species